GUGCUUACUUCAGCAGCAUAUAUAAUAAAAUUGGAAAGAAACAGAGAAAAGUAUCAAGGCCUCUGCACAAAGGAUAACAUGAAAGUUUGUGAAGGAUUCCGUGUAGAU